CAAAAACAUAGCUGUGUGGUAUUAUUCACAGUGUUUUCUGCUCAAUGAAAUAUUAAAUAGCCGCAGUACCCUGACUGUGCAAAGGUAGCGUAAUCAGUUGUCUUCUAAUUAAAGUCUCGUAUGAACGAAUAUAUGGGGGCCCCCUUUACCUGUGAUAGAGAAGGAACUUGCUUAGUGAGUGCAAAUACUCACGGGACUCAAAAGACGAGAAGACCCUAGAAAUUUUUAAUUAAUCUUUUUGUUGGGGCAACAUAGUAUCAAGUAAUUUACUAUAUGUAUAUGAAAUCAGUUUGAGAGCUUAAAUUACUCUAGGGAUAACAGCAUAAUUUAUGAACGUUUGUGACCUCGAUGUUGGACUAGGAAGUUAUAACUUAAAAGGUAGUUAAUUAUGCUCUGUUCGAGCG
rnacentral:rRNA from 1 species